GGAGAGAUGGCUCAGUGGUGCAGAGCACUGGCUGCUCUUCCAGAGGACCUGGGUUCAAUUCCCAGCACCC
rnacentral:tRNA from 1 species